CCUACGGGCGGCUGCAGUGGGGAAUAUUGCACAAUGGGGGAAACCCUGAUGCAGCAACGCCGCGUGAGUGAAGAAGUAUUUCGGUAUGUAAAGCUCUAUCAGCAGGGAAGAAGAAAGACGGUAUCUGACCAAGAAGCCCCGGCUAACUACGUGCCAGCAGCCGCGGUAAUACGUAGGGGGCAAGCGUUAUCCGGAUUUACUGGGUGUAAAGGGAGCGUAGACGGCUGUGCAAGGCUGAAGUGAAAGCCCGGGGCUCAACCGCGGAACUGCUUUGGAAACUGUAUAGCUUGAGUACUGGAGAGGCAGGCGGAAUGCCUGGUGUAGCGGUGAAAUGCGUAGAUAUUGGGAGGAACACCAGUGGCGAAGGCGGCCUGCUGGACAGAAACUGACGUUGAGGCUCGAAAGCGUGGGGAGCGAACAGGAUUAGAUACCCCAGUAGUC
rnacentral:rRNA from 1 species